AUUCUAGAAGAAAUAGUCAAAAAACAACUUUUCUUAACUCUGGGCAGAACCUCAGAGCUUGGAGCUACCCCCCAUUUGCAGCUCCUCACCAAGAUGACAGACCUUGUAAUGUUUUCACCUUCCUUGCAAGAUGUCAUCUGGAGAUUGCAGGCCGUCAGAGCUUCAAGAAAGACAAGACAGCUUGAAACACACAAAAUUAUGGAAAAUUGGAGAGAAAUGGAGCAAAACGACUGAAAGAGUUUAUGCCUCUUUCAAAACACCUGAAAACAGAAAGGGCACAGAAAAGAAUGGUUCUCUCCUUCAGACGCCACGUUUUUGUUUCCCCUGAACUGUAAAAAAUAUAGAUUGAUGCAUCUACUGACAGAUGAUGACUGAGUUCUCUCCAGAAAAUGAGUAAGGAGAAGUUUGCCAUAGUCCAUGCUUUUGAGUUUGCUGUAACUUUCCCAACAUGCAGAUGAAGACGAAAGGGAAAGAGAAAGCCAUAGGACCUAUUCUGAAAUCUCACUUUGUGUUUAAGAUCACUCCCUGGGCUCAUCUACACCAGGGGUCCACAAACUAAGGCCCGUGGGCCGGAUGCAGCCCUCCAAGGCCAUUUACCUGGCCCCUUUCCUAAACUUUAGAUUUAGGGUUGACCUAAGUCUGUAACGACUUGAAGGCACACAACAACAACAAUCCUAAUUUUGGACUAUUUCAUUAUCGUUUGGCCCCCCAACAGUCUAAGGGACCCCUGAUCUACACUGUGGAAUUAAUGCAGCUUGACACCACUUUAACUGCCAUGAGUCAAUGCUAUGGAAUUAUGGAGGUUGCAGUUUUACAAGAUCUUUAGUCUUCUAAGCACAAGGUCAAGAAAAUCUAUAUACAGACUCUUCCUUAAAUGUAUUGUAGAAGGCUUUCAUGGCCAGAAUCACUGGGUUGCUGUGAGUCUUCCGGGCUGUAUGGCCAUGUUCUAGAAGUUUUCUUUAAAUGUCCUUUGACUUUCAGGAAGUGUUUGAGGUAAAGGUAAAGGUUUCCCUGAUGUUAUGUCCAGUCAUGUCUGACUCUGGGGGAUGGUGUUCAUCUCCAUUUCUAAGCCGAAGAGCUGGCGUUGUCCAUAGACACCUCCAAGGUCAUGUGGCUAGCAUGACUGUAUGGAGCGCAGUUACCUUCCCACCGGAGCAGUACCUAUUGAUCUGCUCACAUUUGCAUGUUUUUCUAGGCUGGCAGAAGCUGGAGCUAACAGUGGGCGCUCACUCCACUCCCCGGAUUCGAACCUGUGACCUUUCGGUCUACAAGUUCAGCAGCUCAGCGCUUUAACACACUGUGCCAUCAGGGGGCUCUGAAGUGUUUGAAAACUCCAACUAAAAAUCUUGCUGUCUUGGUUUUUAGGGCUGUUCCUGUAGUUAUUUGAGGCAAUGAUUCAGAAAAUUGCAUUGGCUAGACCUUAUCGGCUCUAGUUUCUUAGGUAUGGUUAUGAUUUUCUAUGGGCGAGCAGAUGAUGACUGUUAUGUGGCAUAUGUUCUGCAUCUCAAAAACUAGAGCUGGUAGGGGAAGACUGGUGCCAUUUUUGGAAUCAGCAGGUCAAACAUACCCAGAAACAGGGCUAACAUUUGAGGCACCAAAAUGUGUGUUUGACAUCGUAAUAGAUGAUUACAGGUGAAAAGCAAUAUAGUAUUGUGUCACUUCAUUUUUGGUUCCUUUCUUGAGGGCUUGGACUACUGAUGAUGGAUGUGCAUAUUUAUUCAUUCUGCGGGUCUUAUGCAAGGUUUGUUGAAUGGACAUGGCUUAAUUUUCCCAGUUAAACCAUGUUCUUGGUGAUGGAGGCAGCGGCGCUUUGUUCUCAGUGCUUCUGAAGUCCGUAGGCCAUGGCUACCCUUUCUAAAAAGAAAAAAAAGGGAGGAACAUUAUGUUUCAAUUUGAUCCACUUCAUAUAUCAAAUGCGACAAGCUCAACUUCAGAACUGGAGCUCUUUUUUUGCCUUGAUGCCCGUUUUUGUCACCGAUGAUGUAUGGAGGGUAGGAAAGGAACAGGCUUUUUCAUGCUCUGUGAUACAAAGAAAUACACAGAGAAAACAGAACAUUUAUUUGACUUAAAAGUGUAGAAAUGACAGCAGAGAGGACUAGGGACUCUGCGUGUGCAUGGAUCACACUGUGGGAGAGAUAUCCUUCUGGACUAGAGCUCACAGAAUAACAUCAGCCAGCAUGGCCAGUGGAAGUUGGAAGCUGUGUUCCUCUAAUGUUUACCCUCAAGUUGAUUCCAAUUCUGGUGAAUCUAUAUAUGAGAGACCUCCAAAAACCCUGGUCAAUAUCCACCCAAAUCAGGUGGCAAACUCAGGGCAACUCAACUCAAUCUACCUAUAAUGUGGCCUAUCUUUAUCCUAUUGCCUUCCACUUAUUGAUCAAGCAUUAUCUUUUCCAAAGAGUCACAUCAUUUUGUUCUUUCUUUUUAAUUUAUCCCCCUCCCAAUUGCAUUGCAGAAGUUACAUAUUUUGGUCAAGAUAUAAUGUAAUCCAGCGGUGCCUUUGAUCCCCAUACCUCCCCACUUCCCUAUAGACUUCUCUGUUGACUUCCUGUUUCCUGGGAAGGAGAUGUUUUUACUUGUAAGGGUCACAUCAUUUUGUGACACGUUCAAAGUUUUGGGAAACUUUAUUUGCUCUUUUUAGCAUCCUUGUUACCCACAGAACACUCCUCCAACACUACUUUACAAAUGAACUGAAAUUUGGGUUGCUGUGAGUUUUCCAGGCUGUAUGGCCAUGUUCCAAAAGCAUUCUCUCCUGAUGUUUUGCCCACAUCUAUGGCAGGCAUCCUCAAAGGUUGUGAGAUCUGUGGGAAACUAGGCAAGUGGGGUUUAUAUAUCUAUGGAAUGUCCAGAGUGGAAAAAGAACUCUUGUCUGCCCGAGGCAUGUGUGAAUGUUGCAAUUGACUAAUUGACCACCUUUCCAACAGACCUCACAACAUCUAAGGAUGCUUGCCAUAGAUGUGGGUGAAACGUCAGAAGAGAAUGCUCCUGGAACAUGGCCAUAUAGCCCAGAAAACUCACAGGAACCCAGUUAUUUCAGCCAUGAAAGCCUUCAACAAUGAUUGGAAUUUUUUUUCUUUCUCAGCUUUCUUCACUAUUUAGCAUUCCCAAUUAGAAUUACUACAGGCUGGAUGGUUCUGAUAUUGGUAUUCAAUGACAUUACACUUGGGGGGAAUCUUAACUAGUGCCUUUCCAAGGGUGCAUCUGCAUUGCCAAAUUAGUAUAAUUUGAUACUAUUUUAACCAUCAUGGUUCAGAUGCUGGGUGUAGUAGUUUGCUAAGGCACAAUAACUCUGUGGCAGAGAAGGUGAAAGAGCUUGAAAACUACAACUUCCAUCAUUCCAUAGGAUUGAGCCAUGGCAGUUAAAGUGGUAUCAAACUGCAUUUAUUCUAUAGUUAAGAUGCACCACAAGUCUGUUGGAGACUGACAAUGAACACCAGGUUUUGUAGGAAAGACCUGGCAAAAACACCACCAAGUAUUUCUUGCCUUUAAAAAACCCUAUGGAAUCCAUGAGGUUGCCAGAUGAUGAUAGGUGACUUGAAGAUAUGCCCACACACAAGUUGGAUGACAUAUUUAACUCUUUUAAUAUUUUAUUGCCCACUUCAAAAUUGUAUAAAAGAUCUGUGGCAAUUAUUUUUGUCUUAGUAUUCAGUUGUAACCUUGGAGAGAAGCUUCCCACAAGGAUGGUAAACAUCAAACAUCCAGCCGAUCCCUGGGCAAUGUCCUUGCAGACGGCCAACUCUCUCUCACACCAGAAGCGACUUGCGGUUUCUCAAGUUGCUCCUGACACAAAAAAACGCAGUUGUUGUUCUCAUUAUUUGCCAAUUUCUCCUUCUAAUGCAGAGACACACAAGAAAAAAGAGACACAGGAUGCUAACGAGAUGGCCUUGUAUAUGUGAUACUACAUUUUAUCACACAGAAGAUCUAAAGUCCUUUUAUUGACAGAGGGGUAAUUCAAAUCAUGGGUACAAAAAAGUUCUAAAUCAGAAACUCCAGAAUGAUUUGCCCCUAAUAUAAAUAUUCAGUAAUGUAUAGAAAUUAUAGGAAAAUAUUGUUAAUUGUAGUCAGAAAAAAAUGAAAUGUAUAAAUAUAGGAUGGAUGACCCCAGCUUGAUAACAGUAAAUGUGAAAAGGACUUAGGGGUCUUAGUUGAUCACAGACUAAACAUGAGUCAACAGUAUAAUGCCACAACCAAUGGGCAUAGUAUACCUUUCAAUGGAAGAAUUAGUGCCACUCUAUUAUGCUUUGGUCAGACCUUAUCUAGAGUGUUCAGUUCUGGGCAGCACAGUUCAAGAAGAAUAUCAUUUCAGGAUUUUUAUUCCUGUUUCAGGAUAAUAUAAUACAAGGUAUAUACAAUAAAGUCUCACUUAUCCAACAUAAACAGGCUGGCAGAACGUUGGAUAAGCAAAAAUGUUGGAUAAAAAGGAGGAAUUAAGGAAAAGCUUAUUAAACGUCAAAUUAUGUUAUGAUUUUACAAAUUAAGCACCAAAACAUCAUGUUUUACAACAAACUGACAGAAAAAGCAGUUCAAUACACGGUAAUGCUAUGUAGUGAUUACUGUAUUUAGGAAUUUAGCACCAAAACACCACAAUGUAUUGAAAACAUUGACAACAAAAACAUUGCCUACUAACUAAUUGACUACAAAUAAAGAGAGAAUUGCAUAAAAUGAACAACAUUGUCAGAAGUUAAAUCCGUAAAAAGUUUAGUCCUUGCUGCCUAGAGAAACAGCUGUGGAUUCAGGCAGGAGGCAGACUGUGUUGGAUAAUCCAGAAGAUUGGAUAAGCAAAGGUUGCAUAAGCAAGACUCUACUGUAUCACAGUUUGAGCUCUAGUUGAACUUCUGGAUUUUAUUGAUGGAAAUCUGUUUGUUGAAAAUGUACAUGUAGUUUUGUUAUAAUAAUAGGAAACAUGGUUUGUGGGGGCAGAAUAAUAAGUUUCAUUGGUCAUGCUGGUUAGGACAAUUUUUUUUCUUGCAGCUUUUGCCAGCUCUAUCUGUUGUUUCAAAAGUUUAGGAGCCAUCACAAGAGGGGGGAAACAAACCUUUUGACUGGAGCAAACAGAUGGUUCCACCCCCUAAAGUGUUUGAUCACUAGUUCUUAAAGAGUGGGAAAGUAAGUCUGGAAGACCAAGUGAGCAUUUAUUUUUGAAAGUAUCAUGUUCACAUGCCAUCUUUCACCAUCUAUUUUUAUGGUCAAACAACACCUGUCUGGGAGAGAUCAGCUGUGAGCAGUGAGGGAGCUUCCUGCCAGAAAGGCAUGAUCUGCUUCACUUCCCUAUAUCCCAGGAUCAGAUCCCAGAUUAUCUGCUGGAUUAUAGGACUCCACACUGCCAUAUAAUCCUGUUCAAAGCAGAUAAUCUGGAUUUUAUAUGGCAGCGUAGAAGGAGCCUUGAUUGCAUGCAGGAUUCCCAGGUCAGUAGCAUCCCAUGCCCAGAGACUUCAAGGCCAAAGCCUGAGCAAAGGUGGUGGAUCCUUGAGAUAGCUCAGGGAUAAGAUAGGGAUCCAUGUAGUCAUGCUGGCAACAUGACCUAGGAGGUGUCUACGGACAACACUGGCUCUUCGGCUUAGAAAUGGAGAUGCGCACCAACCUCCAGAGUUGGGCACGGAUAGACUUAAUGCCAGGGGAAACCUUUACCUUUACUUAAGAUAGGCAGGAAAAGGAUGGGAGAGGACUUUUUUUCCCUGGGCCAUUUGAUGGUCGAAAUUGAUAGGAAGAGAAUCUGACUAAAAUUCAACUAACAGGUUAUUUUGGCAAUCCUGGAUCCUGUUCUUACCAAGUUCCCAUUUCUAGCAGCUCAAUCACUGUGGCAGAUGAAGUCUUUCUAACCCACUCUGUCUUCCUUCUAGCACAUAUGACACGUGGCAAGUUUCUCCAGGUCCUAUACCAUUGCUUGGGCUUGUUGAUGACUUAUGGACAGCCUCCAGAGAGUCGUUCAUCCUCACUGCUAGUAUUGUCCAGGCUACUGAUUCAAGAAGCCUCACAAAUCUUACUGUUGGCAUACCAUUCAUUUUUGUGUGUGAUGCUGCUGCUGAAGCACUACAUACAAUGAAACUUCUUUAAGCUGGACCACUGAGCCCUGGUGCCAGCAAGGAAUGGAAGAUGGGGAAGCUGUGCUAUGGAUUUAAAAGCAAUGGUAGCCAAUUAUUAGAAACCAGAGGACCACAUUGACCCCAUAAGGAAUCAUGAAAUGCUGCACUACCUGACAUAAAUGCACAUUUUUGCUUCCAAACUUGCUGUAGAGUUGUGGGGGUAUUCUCCAUUUUCCCCAUAGUUAUAAGAGAAAGUGACCUGGGAAUUGUUCCCUGUUCACUUUAGAACAAGGUCUCCCCUGGGCAUUCAAGGUUCAACGGCAGCCUCAAAUGUGCCCAAAAAAUGCCUCCAAAUUUUCUCUAAAACUUAGAGGCAAUCACUUGGGGAGCAAAUGCCAUCUUCUUCCCAAGACAUUUGCACAGCCCCCUCUCCUCCCACAGCAAGCCUAAGAACAUCUUUUUCUCUCUGGUGUCCCCCUCAAAAUGGCAACAGAAAGUGAGAUUGCAUCACUACCUCUUGCAUUUGUGAGAAGGAUUGCAGAGGAAGAUGAAGAUAUUUAGGGUGAUGGAGGUCUCUGGGGUGCUUCUGUAUGUGAUUUUUGGGUGUUUUUGGUAUGAUGUUAUGGUGGUUUGGGGGUGGAAAUGGCUAAUUGUCAAUUUUGACAAACUGAGGUAGAGGUUUUGGACGUUUUGGGAGGAUUGUGAGAUGAUUCAAAUAUUUCAGAACUAAGGUCUAUGUGCCAUAGGUACUCUUGCAGGCCCCAUUAUGCUUACCUUUGAUAUGGAGGGUGUUUGGGGGCAUUUUACCCUCCCACAUUAGUUCCCAUGGGGGCUACAAAUUUGUUUCACUUUGUCAAAGUCUGAAUCAAAGCACACAAACAUCACUUCCCACCCGCAAGAUAGGUCUCUCUAUGCAAAGAGCCAGGGAAGGAUAGUAAUUCAUCAGGUUGGAGUUGAUGGCCUUGCAGUCUCUUCCAACUCUAAGGGACUUUGUCUGGUGUCCUGAGACCUGGCAUCUCUAGCCGUGCUAUAUAACUUUUUUUAGCCAUGUUUCAUUUUCUGCUGAUUCAGGUACCUGGGUUUCCACACACACCUACCUUUCACAAAAGCUGUUAUUAUGCCACUGCUGAAGUUGGUGCACAGCAAAAGAGAGUGAAAUUUUCCACCAGCACUAAGCUGUGAUUGAAUUUGUUCAGAUUAGGCCCGGAGCUGAGCAAACCUGAAAUGCAUCAUUUGAGGGAUGCUCUUUCAUUUUUAUGGAAAUGUUCUGCCGUCUUCAGAUCUAAUUGAAGGUCCUGACAUUCCAAUUUCCCUAUAAGAAUGUAUUCAAACACCAGCUCAGUUCCUAUUCUUUAUUUUCUUUGCAGAAUUGAAACAGCGACGCAUCAGAUGCACAUUCAUCUCAAAGCUGGCAAUCUUGAGCAUUGUGGCUGCUUUUUCAAUGUGUGCUCAAUAACUCUUAUUCAAACAAUAUCCUACGGCUUGAUCCAUGAUCCGCACAAACCAACUUUAGUGUAGGAUUAUGGACAUCCCUCCCACAUUACGUAAACAAACAAACAAACAAAGAAUAGCUUUUUCCUCUCUAAACAGGGAUUAAAAUGCAGAGAAAGUUUGGGCAUUAGUCAUAUGCAAACAAAUAAGUCCAAAUUCAAUAAGAAGACAAGGGGGUGGAGGAAUAACUAUUGGAGAGCCUAAAUUAUCCUGGAAGAAUGGAAACCUCGAUCCAAAUACUUAUAGAACUGGGUUAAGUAUGUUCCCAAAACCCACAAUGAAAAAUAUAUGGUUCCCUCCCUGAAAGGGUCUAUUUCUGGCAACAAUUCAAAGUGUUGAUUCCAAAUUAUAAAGUCUUAGGUCCAAACUACAUGAUAGUCCAUAUAAAUCUGCCCAAGGCUUUCAAUCUUUAGAGGGGUUUUUUUCCUUCAUCUUGCCAUCCACACAGACUAAUCUGGUCGAGACACAGGAGAGAGCCUUCUCAGGGUUUGUCUAAGUGAAAUUUUAAAAAAUUGCAUGCAACUCAAAAGCAUUGAAAACCUAAAAUACAAUGUGAGCAUUUGCUUGUAAUACAUUUCUUUGGGCUUUAAUCAGUUUCCCAAAAAUGUGCCUUAGGUUUACAGAAAAUCUAGACUUUUAGAUCUGUGACCAUCCUGCACUUUACUAUGUCAUAGGGUAAGAAGUUAGUGGUGUCUGAAACAAACUGAUGAAAAGAAAAAAUAAAGUAUAAGUGUGUGGAUGAUAUCAUCAUGAGUCUCCCCCUGCCCCCAAUAAAAAAUAUUUUUAUUCGUAUACAUGAAGGAAAAACAAAGAAAAGUUGGAGUGUCCACAGUUAUGUGGCCAAAUACAAUGCAAAUGAUUGGAAAUGUGGAAUAUCCUCUAACAGCAAGGUGAGUUUGUCAGUAAAAAAUAAGUGGCCGGCGAUGAUGCUCUCCCUGUGAUGUGUGUGAUAUAUAUUGCAUCAAUGGAGUCACUGCAGUCCCAAUGCAGGGCAGGAAAAUGUGGCCCAAAUGUGGGAUUUUUGUUGGCAGUGUGGACAGGUCCCAAGGGAGGCUUGCUUUGCCCCACUCUGCUUUAUUUUGGCCAGCAGUCAGAGAUAUUUCUGUUUAAAGUGGCUUGCAGAUCAAACUGAGGGUAAGAGGGACAUUCUUUUUGUCUCUUCCUCAGUCAACUCAGCAUCAUCUAAUGUUCAGUUUUGCAAGCUUUUAAAAAAUUUUGCUUUUCAAGCCUUUUCCGUUUUUGACAGUGCCCUGGUCCCUAACUUGUUGAAUAAGUAGGAAAGGUCUGUAGGUCAUCAGUACAAGUAUUUCAAGUUUAAACAGAUCACAGACAUGAUGACUGGUGAAUCCCAUAUCAGUGGGCGAAUCUACACCAAUUUUAAUCUGAACUUCAAAGCAACUCUCCAGAUCGCUGAACCUAUUUGUAGGACUGGGUCCAGCACCUUUAAAGUUCAGAGUAGAUUUACAGACUCCCUGCUAAUCAUCAGCCAUCACUAGAUCAGGGGAGUAGGAGAUGGAAAGUCCUUUGCCACCUGAUGUCAUGGACUGUACGGUGCAUCAUCCUCAGCCACAGUGAGGGAACCAGCACUCAGGUAAGGUGGUAUCUAUAGUUCAACAACACUUGGAUAUCCAAAGCUGGGAAAGGCUGUCUUACUGACUGCAAUGGCUCACACUUGAGCAAUCUGGAAAUAUGGGUCAGGGACAGAGCACAUGCUUUGCACGCUCGUCCAACUUCCAAUUUCUAGCCCCAUUAGCCAAGCAUUUCUAGUGUCACUGGUUAAAUAUAUCCAAGGAAGAAGGGCUGAUUGAGUCCCUGGAAAAUUUCUAUUACAAUUGUGAGUUGACUAAACCCAUAGUCUGAGUUUUUGUCAGGCAAUGUCAUAGUUUCGUCAUAAAGCCACUCCCACGAUUGUGUGGAAGUUCGGGGAUCAUAUUCUGGACAUGUAUGGACCUGUGCUAGUUCUUACAGCAUUUGUUUUUGGAAUUUAAAUAUUCAGGAUGCUAUUAUUAGUCUCAACUGAAGCAGGUACACAGAAUCAUCCAUGUUUCCCUUUUUGUUCAUUCACCAAUUGGCAACCCAUUCGAUGUGGACAUGGAAUAUGUCUUCUCCUAUGAAAACAUUUUCUUUUCCUUUUCCUGAUCGGCUGUGGCUCAUCACUUGUGAAAUGUCCUCCCCUUGAAGACCUGACUGGUGCAAACACUGGUUUUAUUUCAGCACUAUUGCUUUUUUUUUUUUUAUUAAACCUUCGGGCUAAUUUUACUUGCAAGCAUUCAUAUAAUUUUUUUAAAAAACCCUUUAAAGCUGCCUUCCAUUAUUUAAAUUGCUGAAUAUAUGCUCAACAUGUUUAAAUUAUUUCUUGAUUUUAAUUUAUAAUGUGUUUUACAGUUUAUAUUGCUUUAUUUGUUUGCUGUCCUGUAAUCUCGUGAUUAAACAUUGAGAUAAAAUAUUUUAAUGAAAUAAAUCAAUGGAACCAGGAGACAUUUUCAUACCAUGCCCGCUGAUUAAAAUGUAAGUGUAGAUGUGGCUACAAGUUGCUUAUGCUUAUGGCAACUCCAUGAGUUUCAUAAAGGUUUAUUAGGAAGGACAACAGUACAACCUCCUAUCCAUGCAUUCAACAUCUAUGGUUUCGCUUACACACAUUUUCUUGGCUUCUCUUGGUCCUCCAGUGUGAGUGUAUGGUAUGCUUCUGAUUCAAGUAUAGCAAAAUAAAAUAAAUAAAUAAAACCUCAUUAUUAUCCAUUGCAUCAAGUGUCCCUAGUUGUGUGCGUGUUUUGGAACUUGUCACCCAUGAAUAUGGAGAUUGUUCUGUACUCAGAGGUGGUUUGCUAUCGCCUUCCUCUGAAAUAUAAUUUAUGGUCCCCAAUCCAAGUCCUGACCAGGGCUGAUCCUGGGAAGUUUCCAAGAGCACUCAAAAACUAGAGGAUGGUAUUUUGGAGUUCCUGAAUGAUGACUUAACCCAGUGGUUCUCAACCUGUGGGUCCCCAAGUAUUUUGGUCUACAACUCCCAAAAAUCCCAGCCAGUUUACCAGCUAUUAGGAUUUCUUUGAGUUGAAGGCCAAAACAUCUGGGGGCCCACAGGUUGAGAACCACUUGGUUAACCCAACUGUUCAGAAGCUCUUUUGUAUAACAAAUCUGAAUUCACUAUUGGAUUUGAGGCCUGUGGUUGGAGAAACUGGGUAUCAUCCUUCUUCAGAAAUCCUGUUCAUUUACAUUUCUGUCAGUAGUAAUUAACUGAGUUUUCCCUAAUGAUCCUGAAGCUUGGUCUGUUUUUGUUUUGGCUUACAGUGCAUUCUCUUUGUAUGUAUUGCAGCUGAAGGGUGGAAAGUGGAGGGAAGUGAAAAGGCUUUCCUCUGACCAUUCAGAAAGGGUCAAUGUCACGAUCCUGCCCUAUAGAAAAGAGCUGCGUCCCACCCGACCUGCAAGAACCGCUCUUGUGGUGACUCCACUUCCCUGCAUUGCAACACUGUGCCCUGGCCAACUCCUGGAGUUUGCUAAUUUGUGUGUUUCCACUGGAGGCCUGCUGAUUCAAUCAUUUUAAAGAUGCCCAUUUCUUCCACGCCAGAGAGUUUUAUGGCUCUGAGGAUUAGAAGCUUUUAUCCCAACCAACCCCGGAGCACUAUAUAUUCUGAUUUUUAUGUGUCAACGUUGCUUUCUUGGAGAGAGGUUUCUCCAUCUCCAGCUCCUGUUUCCAAGCCAAGUAUUCCAGUUCCAGUCGGGCCGUGCUAUGCCGCAACUCUCGAGUAGACCUUGACUUUACUUCAGUUGUUACUCCUUGUUCCUGUUUCAAGUUUGCCUCAGCCUUGACAACCUUACUGCCUUGAUUUCCAGUGGAUUGAACUCUGUUUUCUGCCAGCCUUGUUUCUCUGUUUCAACUCAUGGACACUUUGAUUUCUUUGGAGAGCUAUCAAGUUCUCAUUGUUGAUUAUAAUAUCGGACUUUUCCUUUUACCUAUUUGGAACCACCAUUGACUUUCUAAAAAGAAUUAUUCCUUACUCAGACUCUAUACUAACUUCCUUUGGAUAUAUAAUUGCUUUAAUAAAGAUAUAGUGUGUUAUAUUGGC